CAACUAGUGUUAACUAUCUGUUGAGUCAACAUCUGGAAUUGGGGAAAAAUGGGAGAUACAGGGAUGAAGAGAACUUGUUUGCUCAAGUGCCGCAUCCUAAAAUCGUCAAACCUGUUAAGGAACUAAAAAUUCCUCAACGAGACCAAGAGAUUGCAAGACCAAGACCUAGGCAUCAACUGCAUCGAUUUUUACCGGACACUUCCAAUAGUGAAACAGUGACAAGCAACUCAUUAUCAGACGGGAAAGUUCGAUGCGAGCACAGUGUUAGCAAUGGGAAAAUUCACCGCUGCCGCUCACGCUGGCCACCUCGACGACAAAGAACGAUUUUAACGAAACGAAAUUUUCCGCUACCGCUGACCCAUCACGAAGCUCAUAAUAGGGGCGCCUUAGGAAAGUUUAAUCUGGACGACCCGAAACUGUCCAUUGAGCAGCGACGGAACUACUUCAACAACUGGUUUACUUACUACCUGAAGCCGCAAGAUGUUUAUGAGAGCACCACCUCGAACUGUAGCAACAAUAAAUAAAUCCGUCCCAAUUUG
rnacentral:lncRNA from 1 species